ACCCUAUGGGGAUCCCGACAUCCCAAACCUAGGGGGUUCCCAACACCCCAAACCCUAUGGGGAUCCCAACACCCCAAUCCCUACGGGGAUCCCGACACCCCAAACCCUAUGGGGAUCCCAACACCCCAAUCCCUACCAGGAUCCUGACACCCCAAUCUCUAUGGGGAUCCCGACACACCAAACCCAUGGGGAUCCCAACACCCCAAUCCCUACAGGGAUCUCAACACCCAAACCCUAUGGGGAUCCCAACACACCAAACCCUAUGGGGAUCCCAACACACCAAACCCUACAGAGAUCCCAACGGCCUAAUCCCUACAGGGAUCCUGACACCCCAAUCCCAUGGGGAUCCCAACACCCCAAACCCUAUAGGGAUCCCGACACCCCAAAUCCAUGGGGAUCCUGACACCCCAAACCCAUGGGGAUCCCAACAUCCUAAUCCCUGUGGGAAUCCCAACACCCCAAACCCAUGAAGAUCCCGACACCCCAAACCCAUGAAGAUCCCAACACCCCAAACCCCAUGGGGAUCCCGACACCUCAAACCCUACGGGGAUCCCAAUAUCCUAAAUCCAUGGGGAUCCCAACACCCAAAGACACCAGGCAACCCAACCCCGCUGAAAAAUAUGGGAAACUCAAUGCUCAAAGACUUUGGGAAACCCCGUGCUCCAAACACCCACACAGAUCUCAGAACCCAAAGCCCCACAGGGAUCCCAAAGCCCCAAACCCCCAUGGGAUACUCAACACUCAAAGACAUCAGGCAGCCCAAAUGCACUUAAAAAUAUGGGAAACCCAAUGCUCAAAGACUUCAAGACACUAAAACCCUUUGGGAAACUCAAGACUCAGAAAGAAACUCAACACUCAGAGAUUUGGGGAAACCAGCGCUCAAAAUCCCUCAGGAAACUCAACGCUUCCAAAAUCCGCUGGGAACCCAACGCUGGAAGACCCCCAGGAACCCAACACGGGGUGAGACAAAGACAACAUGGAACCCAGUGCCCAAAGACCCCUGGGGAUCACGCUGCUAAAAAGGCUCCACAAAGAACCCAACGCUCCAAGAUGUUGAGAAAGCCAACCCUCAAAGACCCCUCAAGGACACAGCGCUCAAAGAUGGCAGGGAAUCCAACAUUCAAAGACCCCUCAGGGAACCCAACGCU
rnacentral:lncRNA from 1 species